GACGAACGCUGGCGGCGUGCUUAACACAUGCAAGUCGAACGGAAAGGCCCUGCUUGCAGGGUACUCGAGUGGCGAACGGGUGAGUAACACGUGGGUGAUCUGCCCUGCACUUCGGGAUAAGCCUGGGAAACUGGGUCUAAUACCGGAUAGGAGCCAUUUUUAGUGUGAUGGUUGGAAAGUUUUUUCGGUGUAGGAUGAGCUCGCGGCCUAUCAGCUUGUUGGUGGGGUAAUGGCCUACCAAGGCGGCGACGGGUAGCCGGCCUGAGAGGGUGGACGGCCACAUUGGGACUGAGAUACGGCCCAGACUCCUACGGGAGGCAGCGGCGGGGAAUAUUGCACAAUGGGCGCAAGCCUGAUGCAGCGACGCCGCGUGGGGGAUGACGGCCUUCGGGUUGUAAACUCCUUUCGCUAGGGACGAAGCUUUUUGUGACGGUACCUAGAUAAGAAGCACCGGCUAACUACGUG
rnacentral:rRNA from 1 species